GUUUCUCUUCUUUAAUGUGUUAAUCGUACUAUAUAUAAUAUUAUUUUAAAAUUUCAAAAAAUUUAUGUCACUAUCACAUACAAAAAACCAUCAAUAAAAAAUAUAAUUCUCCAUCUACAACAAAAAAAUGAAAAAUUAUUAACAUAUAAAUUUAAAUUAAGAAAAACUAACAUUGAAAAAACAAGAAGUUAAUAUAAAAGAAAAAAAUUAACAAAUAAUAUUAUAAAUAAAAUAAAUUUAUAAGACAUAAUCCGCGCGAAGCGCGGAAAAAAUCUCUAGUAAUAAAUAAAAUAAAAUGAUUAGGAUUGAGAUGGAAUGGUUGUGUACCUCGUGUGCGUGGCUGCAUUCUCUCGUGGCACACCACCAUCUUAAUAAUCGCUAUUCUAAUAGACUAGUAGUCUAGUAUACAUCAUCUAAAAGCUUUUUUUAGCUAUUACUAUUAGGCUAUUAGUAUUACUAUUAGCAAUGAAGAGAAAUGUAUUACUAUUUUUUUGAGAAAAGAAGAAAAAAAGAAAAGAGAAAUGACAGGUGAUAGUGGGUGUCGGCGAUACCACGGACCUAUCUGUUAGAAGUCUCCGACAAGUGAACCGUUGGUUAAUGGGACAUUCACACUCCUUUCCGUAUUACACAUUUACACCCAUGUCACAAAUAAUUAAUAAAAUUAUCGAACACACAACAUCGGCUCAUGCCUAUGUUGUUUUUUUUUCACAUGGGUAAUAUGUUCACCCUAAACUUCACAGAAAUCCAACAUACCAUCAAUGCCUCAAAAAAGAAAAACAUAACAGUUUCUCACUAUGACAGUUGCCAAUGCCAACUCUUUUUUU
rnacentral:lncRNA from 1 species